rnacentral:rRNA from 1 species
UCUACGGGAGGCAGCAGUAGGGAAUAUUGCUCAAUGGGGGAAACCCUGAAGCAGCAACGCCGCGUGGAGGAUGAAGGUUUUAGGAUUGUAAACUCCUUUUGUUAGAGAAGAAUAUGACGGUAUCUAACGAAUAAGCACCGGCUAACUCCGUGCCAGCAGCCGCUGGAAUACGGAGGGUGCAAGCGUUACUCGGGAUGACUGGGCGUAAAGCGUGCGUAGGCGGGGUAAGAAGUCUGAUGUGAAAUCCUGUAGCUUAACUACAGAACUGCAUUUGAAACUGGUACUCGUGAGUGUGGGAGAGGUAGGUGGAAUGCUUGGGGGAGGGGUAAAAUCCGUAGAGAUUAAGAGGAAUACUCAUUGCGAAGGCGGCAUGCUGGAACAUUACUGACGCUGAUGCACGAAAGCGUGGGGAGCAAACAGGAUUAGAUACCCCAGUAGUC